rnacentral:rRNA from 1 species
GGCUACAAUGGUUGGACAAUGGGUAUCUACCCCGAAAGGGGACGGGAAUCUCCUAAAACCAAUCUUAGUUCGGAUUGAGGGCUGCAACUCGCCCUCAUGAAGCUGGAAUCCGUAGUAAUCGCGUUUCAACAGAACGCGGUGAAUACGUCCCUGCUCCUU